ACACGUGCCUUGUUUGAUAGAUAUAUUAUUAUUUGUUACUAAAAUUACUUUAUUACGUGGUCUUUAUUUCGUUAACUUCAUUGCUUUUACAGUGGGUUACUCUAUUAAUUCAUGGAUGUAAUAGUUCUUUAAGAUGUUUUGCAGUUUAUGACGUAUAAUUCAUUGUUAGAUGCUAUACAGACAUACAAAGAAGAAAUGAUUACAAAGUAUCGUGUCGCAAAGGAAUCAAAAGAUUUUUCAAAAGAUGAUAAUUCUUCAAACGACUGCGACUUCAGAAAUCUCACGUUAAUUCGUACAUCUAAUUUCAAGGAAAAACAUUUAUAUAUUGGACAAUGGAUUUAACACUAGAAAACUUUUUUUUAUAAUUGAUGACAUAUUUUUAUAAACAU
rnacentral:lncRNA from 1 species